GAUGAAGAACGUAGUGAAAUGCGAUAAGUAAUGCGAAUUGCAGAAUUCAGUGAGUCAUCGAAUCUUUGAACGCACAUUGCGCCCUGUGGUAUUCCGCAGGGCAUGCCUGUUCGAGCGUCAUUUCAACCCUCAAGCCCCGCUUGGUGUUGGGCCCCGCCCGCUGUGGCCGGCCCUAAAGACAGUGGCGGCGCCGCCUGGCCCUCAGCGUAGUACAUCUCUCGCUCCAGGGUCCGGUGGCCGCCUGCCAGAACCCCCCAACUCUGUGGUUGUCCUCGGAUCAGGUAGGGAUACCCGCUGAACUUAAGCAUAUCAAUAAGCGGAGGA
rnacentral:misc_RNA from 1 species